rnacentral:rRNA from 1 species
AACGCUGGCGGCGUGCCUAACACAUGCAAGUCGAACGCGAAAGGGGCUUCGGCCCUGAGUAGAGUGGCGAACGGGUGAGUAACACGUGGGUGAUCUACCUUCGAGUGGGGGAUAACGUUCCGAAAGGAACGCUAAUACCGCAUGACGUUCUGGGUUUAAAGACCUGGAAACCAAAGCCGGGGACCGCAAGGCCUGGCGCUUGAAGAGGAGCCCGCGUCCGAUUAGCUAGUUGGCGGGGUAAUGGCCCACCAAGGCGACGAUCGGUAGCCGGCCUGAGAGGGCGGACGGCCACACUGGAACUGAGACACGGUCCAGACUCUUACGGGAGGCAGCAGUGGGGAAUUGUUCACAAUGGGCGCAAGCCUGAUGACGCAACGCCGCGUGGGGGAUGAAGGUCUUCGGAUCGUAAACCCCUGUCGAAUGGGACGAAUGACCUUUGGGCUAAUCACCAGAGGAAUGACGGUACCGUUAAAGGAAG